CUCACCUUAGUUCAAUGGUAGAACACACCUCCCCACGUCAGGGCGUGAGCGAGAGGUUGAAGAGACGGGGGUUCGAUUCCUCCAGGUGACC